AGUGAACGCUGGCGGUAGGCCUAACACAUGCAAGUCGAACGGCAGCACAGUAAGAGCUUGCUCUUACGGGUGGCGAGUGGCGGACGGGUGAGGAAUACAUCGGAAUCUACUUUUUUGUGGGGGAUAACGUAGGGAAACUUACGCUAAUACCGCAUACGACCUACGGGUGAAAGCAGGGGAUCUUCGGACCUUGCGCGAUUGAAUGAGCCGAUGUCGGAUUAGCUAGUUGGCGGGGUAAAGGCCCACCAAGGCGACGAUCCGUAGCUGGUCUGAGAGGAUGAUCAGCCACACUGGAACUGAGACACGGUCCAGACUCCUACGGGAGGCAGCAGUGGGGAUUAUUGGACAAUGGGCGCAAGCCUGAUCCAGCCAUACCGCGUGGGUGAAGAAGGCCUUCGGGUUGUAAAGCCCUUUUGUUGGGAAAGAAAAGCAGCAGGUUAAUACCCCGCUGUUCUGACGGUACCCAAAGAAUAAGCACCGGCUAACUUCGUG
rnacentral:rRNA from 1 species